rnacentral:rRNA from 1 species
GAUGAACGCUGGCGGCGUGCCUAAUACAUGCAAGUCGAGCGAACGGACGAGAUUCUUGCUUCUCUGAUGUUAGCGGCGGACGGGUGAGUAACACGUGGAUAACCUACCUAUAAGACUUGGAUAACUUCGGGAAACCGUAGCUAAUACCGGAUACUUUUUUGAACCUCAUUGUUCAAAAGUGAAAGACGCUCUUGCUGUCCCUUAUAUAUUGAUCCGCGGUGCAUUAGCUAGUUGGUAAGGUAACGGCUUACCAAGGCAACGAUUCAUAGCCGACCUGAGAAGGUGAGCGAGCAGGCUGGAGCUGAGACACGGUCCAGAGGCCUACGGGAGGCAGCAGUAAGGAAUCUUGCGCGAUGGGCGAAAGAAUGACGGAGAAACGCCGCAAGAGUGAUGAAGGUAUUCGGAUCGUAAGACGCUGUUAUUAGGGAAGAAAAGAUGUGUAAGUAGCGAUGCACAUCGUGACGGUACCUGAACAAGAAGCCACGGCUAAAUACGUG